UGGUUCACAAGUUAUACUGCAAUGGAAGGGCAGCUCUAAAACCUGAGGGACCAACUGGAAAUUUCUAAAGUCCAGCCAAAGGGAAACACAUUCAAAAGUUCCUCUGAAUCCAGUGCUCAGCUUUCGUCCAGCAGCUAAGUAAUGGCACAUGUAGUUUGGAUUGAUAGACGGGGAUUUGUAAAGGUAAGGGGCACAUGCAAGUGCUAGUUUAUUCAGGGUUUGCCACAUAUACUUUAUGUUAGCACAUUACUGGCUUGGGAGGUUACUUUUUGGGCCAGUUGUGCAAAAUUGGCCACAGAUGCUGAAGAGUCAACCUUGUAUCUGAUGGAUGGCAACCUGAAGUUACAAUUGAAAAGAGGCUAUGUUUCUUUUAGAAGAUUGGUCUUGGGUUGCAGUUUAACAAAGAAACCCCCAAAUGCAUUUGGGGGAAGGGAGUGGCUAUGUAGGUAAGCAGCAGAAUCCCAGAUGGGGGAGAAAAUGGCAAAUAAUUUUAGAAUAAUGAAGCUGUGUGAUCAAAUUAAGACGCAAGGGGCAAAGAGACAAUGGAAGUGGAAAAGAAACAUGGGACCAGAUUUUUCAAAAGAAUUCAGCACCCAGCAACUCUUAUUUGGCCACCUUAGUAAGUGGCAGACAGUUCCCAAAAGCUCAGCUCCCAAUCAGGUAUUUAAGUAGUGUGGCCAGAUUUUCAAAAGGGCUCAGUUACAAGGAACUAAGCUCUUUGAAAAUCUAGUACGCACUCUUCUUUGUCCAGUCAGAGAUCUUCAGUAGUCAGAAAGAGGGUACUAUAGACAAUUAUAGUGGUCAGAACCAUAUUUCAUUAGCUCUGAGAGUGACUGAACCAUCAAGAGAGGGACUGGUGCAUCCUGGCCAAAGGUUUUCAAGCAUCUCUUUCUCUGACGUUUCCUUGUAUUUUUCUCAACUCCAGGGUUGACCAGGUGGAAGUCUGAAUCAAUUUGGAAUGAUCAAUUGCUCAGAGCUUGCCAGAGAUGAGAAGACCAAAAACAAAACAAGUUGCAGACAGGACGUAUUAACAGUGGUUGCACAUCUUCUCCUUUAUCGGGGCCUGGAAAGAACAAAGUAGCUGUCAGAGGUGUGCUCAUUCACAUCCAUGUGGGCAGUACGCAGAGAGAGAAGAGACAAGACAAAAGAUGAUGCUAAAACAGCUUCAACACCUGAAGAAGAAAGGAGGCAGCAUUGGUCUGUGGGGAGAUCCCAACUGAAGGAUUCUGUCGGUAAACUUAUGAGAGACCUUUGCUUUGAAUUCAUUAAGUUCUGUGUACACUGGCAAUUGAACACAAAACAUUUAUCUUGCAGAGGUGUUAAUCUCCACCCUUUCCCCUUCCCCCAAAAAAGACAAAUAUUUUGUUAUGGCAAGUGCCCGCAUGAACAAUGCAUUGUCAGCACAAGGCUCUCCUACAACAACAUGAAUGCCACUCUUCGGAGGUGGACGUAUUUUGUCAGCAAAAGAACUGACAAACAGCAGCUAUUCUGCCAGACUUUUAGCGGGACAGACGUGUCAACAUGACCUUGUUGCUAAAAGCUGCAUAAUGAAGAUAUAGCCUUAAUUUUUUAAGUUAGAUAUCUUAGGGAUUUACCUUUUAUUUUCUUGUAACUAAUUCUGGCCAGUUUGCAUCAUUACUUGUAAUCACUUAAAAUCUCUCUUUCUAUCAUUAAUACAUGUGAGUUUUGUUGUAAACCAGCGAGUUUGGCUUGAAGUGUCUGAGAAACUUCAUCUGGAAUAAUAGGAUCUGCAUAUCAUUUUCUAUUAAUGCAGUGAUGGACUUUUAAACUUGUAGGCUACGUCUAG